GAUGAACGCUGGCGGCGUGCCUAAUACAUGCAAGUCGAGCGAAUGGAUUAAGAGCUUGCUCUUAUGAAGUUAGCGGCGGACGGGUGAGUAACACGUGGGUAACCUGCCCAUAAGACUGGGAUAACUACGGGAAACCGGGGCUAAUACCGGAUAACAUUUUGAACCGCAUGGUUCGAAAUUGAAUGGCGGCUUCGGCUGUCACUUAUGGAUGGACCCGCGUCGCAUUAGCUAGUUGGUGAGGUAACGGCUCACCAAGGCAACGAUGCGUAGCCGACCUGAGAGGGUGAUCGGCCACACUGGGACUGAGACACGGCCCAGACUCCUACGGGAGGCAGCAGUAGGGAAUCUUCCGCAAUGGACGAAAGUCUGACGGAGCAACGCCGCGUGAGUGAUGAAGGCUUUCGGGCCGUAAAACUCUGUUGUUAGGGAAGAACAAGUGCUAGUUGAAUAAGCUGGCACCUUGACGGUACCUAACCAGAAAGCCACGGCUAACUACGUGCCAGCCGCCGCAGUAA
rnacentral:rRNA from 1 species